rnacentral:lncRNA from 1 species
UUGGUAAUAAUUUUACUGAUGAAAAAAAAUUGAAAAACAAAGCAAUUAAAAUUAAAAAAUUUAUUCUCAUAUGAAAAAGAUUCCAACAACAAUAUUCAUACAAUUAUUAAGAAUAGAAAAAGUAAAAAAAAUUAAAAAUAACAAAAAAAACACAAAAAAAAGAGAAAACAAAACUUCUUACCUUAAUUUCAUUUGAAUUUCAGCUAAGAAGAGAGAAAAGAAUAAAUAAAAAAAA